rnacentral:tRNA from 1 species
GGUUCUCUAGUUCAGUGGUAGAAUUCUUGCUUUGGGUGUAAGAGGUCUUCGGUUCGAUCCCGGAGGGAACCC